rnacentral:tRNA from 1 species
GCCGGGAUGGCCUAGUCGGUUGAGGCGUCGCCCCGGACAGGCGAAGGUUGCGGCUUCAAUCCCCGCUCUCGGCC